AUUGAACGCUGGCGGCAGGCUUAACACAUGCAAGUCGAACGGAGUGCUUCGGCACUUAGUGGCGGACGGGUGAGUAACGCGUGAGAAUCUGGCUUCGGGUUCGGGACAACAGCGGGAAACUGCUGCUAAUACCGGAUGUGCCUAAGGGUAAAAGAUUAAUUGCCCGAAGAUGAGCUCGCGUCCGAUUAGCUAGUUGGUGUGGUAAGAGCGCACCAAGGCGUCGAUCGGUAGCUGGUCUGAGAGGACGAUCAGCCACACUGGGACUGAGACACGGCCCAGACUCCUACGGGAGGCAGCAGUGGGGAAUUUUCCGCAAUGGGCGAAAGCCUGACGGAGCAAUACCGCGUGAGGGAGGAAGGCUCUUGGGUUGUAAACCUCUUUUCUCAGGGAAGAAAAAAAUGACGGUACCUGAGGAAUCAGCAUCGGCUAACUCCGUGCCAGCAGCCGCAGUAACAC
rnacentral:rRNA from 1 species